CAACCCUGCUUUUUCACCUGAAAAGCACUCCUGUGCUCCCUAAGUGUUUGCUAAACUCUUGCUCAUAACUCUUUGUCCAAGAUGGAAACCUGCCAGGAACUGCAGCCCACUGUUCUGUGGAAGAUGCCAACCAGUCACAAACUGGAAAAGAGUGUUUCCCCAGUCAAUGUCCUUGGUGACUCCUGCAGGCACAGCCAGCAAAUGGACACUGUGGCCAGGAUGCCGGGGAUUGCCAAGGGCUUCCAGCUGCAGCCCACCCAGGGCCAAGCAGAAAUUAGAAGAGUGCGAAGCUUCUGUUCUCUGGUGGCAAAUCUCUGAAAACCUCCACUUAUAAAUCUGGUGUUGCCAUCUCUAGCUUUUUUUUUUGAACUUAAGAAACCAGGGGCCACCUUCUGCUGAAGUGAAACUGGCUGUAAAUCCCUAUUCUGCUGCAGAUGUCAAACUGAGACAGCACUGGCUUCAUGGCUGGCUAAUGGAAAGUGCUGUUCUGAUCUUGGUGGGUGGCUUAGAGAUCCUUCUGGGCCUGGCUGCAGCUCCUGCCUUUUCACACUCCUGAUGCUUUGACUUGUUCUAAUUGUGGAAUGGCUCUACUAUCAGCCUGCAAGAUUUUUUUUCCAUGAGAUGCUAGUCUUUGGAUAGCAAGAGUGCUACAAAUGAAAGUUAAGAGACAGAUAUGAUAAUGAAUGCUUCCCCUCUCUCUUUCUCUUUGUCUCUCUGUCCUUUAAUGCAGAAUGAGUUUGCAGGAGAUUAAUUUUAUGUAAAGUUUUACAUUUCAUGUUGUGAUCAGCAUUUUUUUUCUCUUGGUUGGCUCUGAGAAAACAUAUAUUCAAGUUUGGGAAUUCAUCAUGUCUGAUUAAUGAUGUGUAUAUAUGCUUCCUGUAUCAUCUUCCUUCUUUUGGUCUUUUUUAUUCAGUUGUUUGCUGUACUCCAACCCUGCGGAUAGAUGGUUCCGCAGUGAUAAAUGUAAAGUUUGCAUAAGCCAUGUAACAGCAGGACAGCCUAUUAUCACUGUACAUUUUCCAUGGCUGUGCAAACCUCUGUAGGCUAUUUUAUUGCUAAUAGAUCCACAGAGAAACAGUAGUGAUUUUAUGACUCUUUUUAAAAUGGAAAUUCAUGUUUGAGAAAUACAACUGGGAGGAAACAGAUGUAAACCACUUAAGCAUUUGCAGAAAAUUGAGAUGCACACUCUUAUUUACAGACCCACAUCGCCUCCAUCGUUUUAUUUUCAAAAUUAAAAUAAGCAAUCUGUUUGCCAUGGGA
rnacentral:lncRNA from 1 species